rnacentral:lncRNA from 1 species
AAAUAAAGGGUGAGUGAAAACGAGACAUUUGGAUGGAGAGGAAGAACAAAUGAAAAAUGGCGGCAUGCCGGCGUCCCAUCAAUGCAGGCCAAGGACGUCCUCUUUACAUCCUGCAAUAUCCAAAAUAUCCUUUUAAUUGAAUAACAUGAGCGAAAGCACGUGUGGAUCAGGUUUUUUUUAUAAAAAUAAUUAAUGUGUAUUUUUUAAAAAAUAUAUUAAUUUUCAUAUUAUUUCAUCAAUAGUGAUGUAGUAAGGUUGCACCUGUAAGUUUGUAUAGUAGGAAGUUGUAAAAUUAAUAGUUAUUAUUGCAAGUGGGUAGUUAUUUUAGGAAAUAACGGUCGUAAAAACCUUCUAUUUAAAGAGAGGUGUUUGGUGUGAAAAUUGGGUCGGAUGUUGAAAGUUAAUAUUGGAUUUUAAGAUUGUAAUGCCUUUGUGUACCCGUG